UUCAGUUGUGAAUUAUGAUCACAGUGGUGAUGAGAAUUAUAUAUUGAGUGUGUGAUGAAAUUUGUACAAUAAUGAGUAGAUUAUUGUACGUGUUUAUGUUUUCGGACCAGUCUUCGGACGUGUGUGGCAUGUCGGAACCUAGCCUUUGGCCGGGCGAAAGUUACGAUACAGUUAGAGCUCUAGUCUGUCUGCCGGACAUCGGGUAGCGAGGAGGUUGCCUGAAGUCGGACUUAGGGUAGCGAGGAGGUUGCCUGAAGUCGAACGUUGGGUAGCGAGGAGGUUACCCAAUGUCGGGCGUUGGGUAGCGAGGAGGUUGCCCAAUGCCGGCGGUGUACUACGUGAGGGGUAACAGAGGUGUACCAGCGCUCAUUAGUACCCGUAUUAUAAAUGCAUUUGGGUAAACAGAGGGGUUACCCAAUUGCUCAUGAGUACUUUCAUUUUCAUAUUUUUGGGACAACCAGAUGGGCCGUCCAUUUACUCAUGGGUGCAUUUAUAUUUGUUGAUUUGUGGAUUCCCGUAUAUAUUGAUAUGCGAGUUAUGUUUUUAUUUUACUCAUACGAGCUGUAAAGCUUACCGGGUUUGUGUUUACAAUCCCGGUGCACCAAUUCGAUGGUGUAGUGGAUAACUCUGCAGGUGUGGAUUUGCGGGAAUUGACGGACUGCUCAGAGAACUUGAAGUUAUAUAUUUCCAGCUGGUGCGAGGAUGUUGUGUGACUAUUUUGUGAGGUUGUUGUGAGGAUUAUACAUUUCCAUUUGUUAUAAUAUUGAAUUAUAAUUUGGUUUGUAAUAAUCGGUUUGACUGAGUUGUAUUUUGAACUCAGAGAUGAUCCGCUGUGGCAUUUUAAAUGAUUUCGAUU